rnacentral:lncRNA from 1 species
AAUACUGCAGUUUGGGAUCCACAGUCUACAAAACCCCACAGCUCCUAAGAAUUCUCUCACCUGCCUUCUGCCCUUAAUUUCCGGUAGAUUGCAAAUAACCUGCUUUCUUUCUGUUCCCGAGCUGCGUUCGGACCCGUCGGAUCGUAAAUCCCACAUAAGGUACCUGCCGUCAGAAGAUUUGAACUCUCUACUUGGACACCUAAUACCCACAGUCCUCCAGCUGCGUUCGGACCCGUCGGAUCGUAAAUCCCAUGUAAGGUACCUGCCGUCGGAAGAUUUGAUCUUUCUACUUGGACACCUAAUACCCACAGUCCUCCAGCUGCGUUCGGACCCCUGUCGUAUUGUAAAUCCCACGCAAGGUACCUGCCGUCGGAAGAUUUGAGCUUUCUUCUUGAACACCUCAUACCCACAGUCCUCCAGACAGAAGGACAACAGGUACAAAGUCCUAAGGAUUAUAAAGGUAUGCUGCUUGCCAUCAUCUUAGUGACCAAGGCAGCGAAGCUGUUUCUGUACCUUGGAACAGUCUUCCCUGACAAGCCAGAGAACAGCGAUAAAGCCACCAGCCUUGGGAUCAGGACUGAAAAGGCAAGAGUGAUGGAGAUUUCUCCUGCGCUAAGCCAAGAGAAGGUUUCAGCACCUCAGACAGCUCCCACCGAAGUAGCGGCGCUCCCAGCUGCUUGCAGAUGUGGAAAAGGAAAGCCUCGGUUUGUCUUGAGGUUGUCAGCAGUUGCAAGACACGUAAUAAAAUGCAAUGUGUUCCUAAUUCA